rnacentral:rRNA from 1 species
UACGUAGGUGGCAAGCGUUAUCCGGAAUCAUUGGGCGUAAAGCGCGCGCAGGUGGUUUCUUAAGUCUGAUGUGAAAGCCCACGGCUCAACCGUGGAGGGUCAUUGGAAACUGGGAGACUUGAGUGCAGAAGAGGAAAGUGGAAUUCCAUGUGUAGCGGUGAAAUGCGUAGAGAUAUGGAGGAACACCAGUGGCGAAGGCGACUUUCUGGUCUGUAACUGACACUGAGGCGCGAAAGCGUGGGGAGCAAACAGG